GGGAGACUUGAGUGCAGGAGAGGAGAGUGGAAUUCCUAGUGUAGCGGUGAAAUGCGUAGAUAUUAGGAGGAACACCAGUUGCGAAGGCGGCUCUCUGGACUGUAACUGACGCUGAGGCACGAAAGCGUGGGGAGCAAACAGGAUUAGAUACCCUGGUAGUCCACGCUGUAAACGAUGAGUACUAGGUGUCGGGGGUUACCCCC
rnacentral:rRNA from 1 species